AGCGUAGACGGUGUGGCAAGUCUGAUGUGAAAGGCAUGGGCUCAACCUGUGGACUGCAUUGGAAACUGUCAUACUUGAGUGCCGGAGAGGUAAGCGGAAUUCCUAGUGUAGCGGUGAAAUGCGUAGAUAUUAGGAGGAACACCAGUGGCGAAGGCGGCUUACUGGACGGUAACUGACGUUGAGGCUGAAAGCGUGGGGGAGCAAACA
rnacentral:rRNA from 1 species